rnacentral:tRNA from 1 species
GCGCACAUCUUCUAACUAAGAAAUCGAACUUCCAACUCAAUAAUGAAAGUUAAAAUCUCUCUCUACGCA